rnacentral:lncRNA from 1 species
ACUUGUUAGUUCACGGUGACCCAUCUUCCCAGAUAGGUGGAAAUGCUAGUGGUUCCCUUGGAAUGUCUUAUUACUUUAGAUGAAUAAUGUUUUAGUUGUGAUGAAUAUGCUAUUCAAAGACUUCAUGUUAUGUAUUCUAUUUUGCGGUACUUAGUGCUAAUAUUGGACCCUGUAAAAAUGGUAGGGUUUCAUUUUGUGUUAGUGAAAAGUGAUUCGCCUAAGGCCCUAAUAUUAUUCAAGUGCUUUGAAACGUUUUAGAAAUCCCAGAAUAAAUUAGACGAUGCAUAUUUUUAUUGGUAACAGGCUCUCCGUUGAAGGUGGAGGUGGAUGGAGAUACAUGCAUGGAUGAUGUGAGACCAAGAUGAUGUGAGCUGGGCGGGCGGGCAUCCUUCUGUAAUCACCCGAAGCCUUCAAGGAGGACAUGACCGUUUGAACGAGUACUUGAUGGUGUGAGGUGGUCCAGCCUUCCCCCUCUUCAUCAUCUACCUUUCACCACUGUGGGACGAAGCUAGAGACUAGUUCCAAUCAGUGAGCAGAGUGAGAAGGAAAGAGGAGAGGAGAGAAGAACACGGCAGCGAGCGAAGAGAGUUCUUAAUGGUUGCAAACCUCUGGAUUACCACUGGAUGGCGAGCGAAGCGAGUUCUCAUUGGUAGCAGACCACUGGAAUGCGAGCGAAGCGAGUUCUUACUGGUUGCAGACCACUGGAUUGCGCGGAUACCGACAUGGAGGAGAGAGAGAGAGACAGACAACGCCAAAGGAUGGCCUGCUUAAACGGAACAGUGGGAAGAAGAAGGAAGAUAGAAAGAAGAUGCAGCAAAGAAGAUACAUUUUUACAAAAUAGAGGGACUCUAGUGUAAGAGUUUAAAGUGAAAACUAAAAAACAUUUACAUUGAAAAGUACAUAACAAUGAAUAUUAUUGAUGUAAAGUGAUAGUGAAAGGACUCGAAUUUACUUUCAUUCUCAAAAGACGUUGAAUUAUUGUUUCAUAUUUUAUUUGUUUGUGAUGUUGUUGUGUAUGUUUUGGUGUAAAUAAUAAAUGCCUAUGGGGUGGGUGUCCUAUUUGGGGUAUUUUCAGGUAUCGUGAGUUAUGUGAAAACUACAAACAUUGACAUUGAAAAGUGCAUAACAGUGAAUUAUUGAUGAGAAGUGAUAGUGAAAUGACUCGAAUUUACUUUCAUUCUCAAGUGACUUUGAAUUGAUUCAUAUUUUGCUUGUUUUGCUGUAAAUAAUUUAUAUGCCUAUGGGGUGGGGGGUCCUUUCAGGCAUCGGAAGCAGCUGGAGGGACGGACGGCCUACGCAGAACUUCAAUCAAGGUAAAAGUCAGCUCUCGACCGAUUUUAACAGUUCAAGUUUUUGUUCUAAACUCUCCAGUUUUAUUUUUAAUUCAAUCUUCUCUAAAACUUUCUAAUUUUCUUCUAUGAAUUAUUAAUAUUCACUGAAUAUUGAUAAUUAUUGAAUACUGAUUUUAAAUUAACUUUUCUCAAUCUAUUUAAAUUCAAAUUAUAUCCUAAAUUUCAAUCUUUGUUCUUCACCACCUAUUUGUACAGUUGAUGUCUUGUUGAACUGUUCAGUUCGGUCCUGGGCGACUUGUGUGGAAUUGGUAAAUGCAUGUCUAGACCAUUACCCCUCAAGUUUUUUUUCAGCUUUUUUACUUUCAAAUUGCAGUUUAUUUAUUUCAGUUGCUUUGGAGGAGAACCUUCAGUUCGAACUCAAGUCGAGAGAGUUUGUUUUUAGUUUAUUACAUUUUGUUUUAUGGAACUUAAAACUCUUCAUUUUUUUCAGUUCUUUAUUUUUUUUGUUGCUUUGGAGGUGAACCUUCAGUUCAAAUUCAAUAUCGAAGUAUAUGUCGAUAAGGGAUGUUUUGUUUAGUUUGUUUCUUUUAAUUUCUUCAAAACUGUCCCCGAUUUUAUUUCAAUUUAGUUUGGGGUUUUCUUUUUAUUUCUUCGAAACUAUCCCAAUCUUUUUUUUUACUAGAAUUUCUAAUUUAUGUAUUGUUUUGUGAUUAGAUUUUUCUGGGUGCUGCCACACUGUUUGGUUUUUUUUCAGGAGGAAAUCAUUGUCAUCAUCAUUUGUAUAUUGUUUUGUUAUGUUUGUUGUGUGUUGUUGCAUCUCUCAAAAUAUUGUUAGUGAACUAUUUUCAAUCAUUUCUAUUGUAAUAAGUUUGUACAUUGUCAGUGUAAUUUGUAUGUACUUCCUUCCUUCUCAUUGCACCAUCCAUUCAUAUUUCUAACUUCAAUUCACUUUAUUUCAUCUUUCUUUUUUCUCAAUUUCAUUUCCAACUUACUUCUUGGCUUCCCGAUGGUUCGAAACCCACCUUGACCUGUAGGUCCACUCAUCUCUCAUCAUUAUCCAAUCUAUUACCCACCCACGCACAAGCCUAGAGCUCGUGUGGGCAUCAUCCAUCAUAUUACAUCAUUCCAAAAACUAUCAUUAUCAAUUCCUCAAUUGUUUUACUAUUUCUGACCACCUUAAAUAAAAACUAAUCUUUCCCUCAAUUUAUCAGUUCAUUCAUUACUCUCGAAUUGUUAACCCCUAAAUCUAAAUUAAUAUCAAAAUUAAGUUCCUAAUCUUCAGAGUAACCUGAAUAUUUAAGAGCCGUCUCUGCUAAGAAAAUUUUAAUCUCAAUAAUAAUAAUAAUAGAAAUCUCACUUAAUAAUAAUUAAAAUGCCACUCAAUAAUAUAAUAAUCCCACUUGAAGCUUUAGGUCCACUUACCUCAAUUGUUUUACUGUUUGUGACCACCUUAAAUCUAAACUAAUCUUUUCCUCAAUUUAUCAGUUCAUUCAUUUAUCUCGAAUUUGUUAACCCCUAAAUCUAAAUUAAUAUCAAAAUUAAGUUCCUAAUCUUCAGAGUAACCUAAAUAUUUAAGAGCCGUCUGUGCUAAGAAUAAUUUUAGUCUCACUUAUUAAUAAUUGAAACCCCACUUAAUAAUAAUUGAAAUGCCACUCAAUAUUAUAAUAUAAUAAUACCACUUGAAGCUUUAGGUCCACUUACCUUCCAUCAUACUGUCAUUAUCAAUUCCUCAAUUGUUUUACUAUUUCUGACCACAUUUCAUAUAAAAAUCUUUCCCUCAAUUAAUUUCAUCACUUUCAAAUUGUAAACCCCUAGAUCGAAAUUAAUAUCAAAAUUAAGUUCCUAAUCUUCAGAGUAACCUAAAUAUUUAAAAACUGUCUCUGCUAAGAAAAUUUUAAUCUCAAUAAUAAUAGAAAUCCCAUUUAAUAAUAAUUAAAAUGCCACUCAAUAAUAUAAUAAUCCCACUUGAAGCUUUAGGUCCACUUAUCUCAUAUUGUUUUACCGUUUC